rnacentral:misc_RNA from 1 species
GAUGAAGAACGUAGCGAAAUGCUAUAAGUAAUGUGAAUUGCAGAAUUCAGUGAAUCAUCGAAUCUUUGAACGCACAUUGCGCCCGCCAGUAUUCUGGCGGGCAUGCCUGUUCGAGCGUCAUUUCAACCAUCAAGCCCCCGGGCUUGUGUUGGGGACCUGCGGCUGCCGCAGGCCCUGAAAAGCAGUGGCGGGCUCGCUGUCACACCGAGCGUAGUAGAUUUUAUCUCGCUCUGGGCGUGCUGCGGGUUCCGGCCGUUAAACCACCCUUUUAACCCAAGGUUGACCUCGGAUCAGGUAGGAAGACCCGCUGAACUUAAGCAUAUCAAUAAGCGGAGGA